UCCCUAGUGGUUUAGACGGUAAAGCAUCUGCCUACAAUGCAGGAGACCUGGGUUCGAUCCCUGGGUCGGGAA
rnacentral:tRNA from 1 species